UACCCGCUGAAUUUAAGCAUAUAACUAAGCGGAGGAAAAGAAACCAAAUGGGAUUCCCCUAGUAACGGCGAGUGAACAGGGAACAGCUCAGCGCCAAGUCCUGACACUUGACGUGCUCAGGAGAUGCGGCGUUAGUGUAUUGGUGCAUCGUGCACUGUUUCGUAUCUCAAGUUCCUUUGACAGGGACUCCCAGAGUGGGUGCUAGGCCCAUAGAGAUUGCGAGACUGGUGUACGCAAACCAAUGCAUUUUAGAGUCAGGUUGCUUGAGAGUGCAGCCUAAAGCAGGUGGUAAACUCCAUCUAAAGCUAAAUAUUACAGCGAGACCGAUAGCAAACAAGUACCGUGAGGGAAAGUUGCAAAGAACUUUGAAGAGAGAGUUCAAAAGGACGUGAAACCACUAACAGGCAAACGGGUGGAACCACGAAGUGUGCCUGGAAGGCGAUUCAGUUAUCAUCAUUAGUUGGCUGUGUUUGUAUUGUGUCGGUCUUUUCAGGCUGUACAAAUGUGGUCUACAAUUGGUGAUGGUAAUGCAUUUCGUCCUUCCAGUGCUAAAGCCACGUCCGAUUAGGUGGCUGGAACGGCCGUAGAGGGUGUCUCAAGGAAGGUGGCCGUCAAGUGCUUGCAUUUGGCGGUGUUAUAGCUUUGAGGCCGUGCCGUUACCUAGCGUGCUGAUCGGUGCAAGUUCUCCUUUUGGAGUUUUGCUAGUAAUGGGCUGGCGCGCUUGUAGUGUCUUGGUUAGCGCGUUAGUUUGGCCUUUCGUUCCUUCGGGUUCGCAAAGACAGAUUAGCGUCGUUGGCCAAUGUGCUGCUUGCGUGGUUGGCUUGUGCAAACGGUGGUGCGAGUAGGUCGGUCUCCACCCGACCCGUCUUGAAACACGGACCAAGGAG
rnacentral:rRNA from 1 species